rnacentral:misc_RNA from 1 species
GAAAUGCGAUAAGUAAUGUGAAUUGCAGAAUUCAGUGAAUCAUCGAAUCUUUGAACGCACAUUGCGCCUAUUAGUAUUCUAGUAGGCAUGCCUGUUUGAGUAUCAUGAAAUCUUCAAAGUAAAUCUUUUGUUAACUCAAUUGGUUUCUACUUUGGUAUUGGAGGUCUUUGCAGCUUCACACCUGCUCCUCUUUGUUCAUUAGCUGGAUCUCAGUGUUAUGCUUGGUUCCACUCGGCGUGAUAAGUUAUCUAUCGCUGAGGACACUGUAAAAGGUGGCCAAGGUAAAUGCAGAUGAGCCGCUUCUAAUAGUCCAUUGACUUGGACAAUACUUUUAUGAUCUGAUCUCAAAUCAGGUAGGACUACCCGCUGAACUUAAGC